GUUUGCUUAGGCCAAUAUACACCAAAAUUAGAAUGAUACAGAGAAGAGUAUCAGGGUCCUGGCAUAAGAAUGACAUGCACAUUUGUUAAGUAAUUCAUAUUUUU
ensembl:snRNA U6 U6 spliceosomal RNA